rnacentral:sRNA from 1 species
CAUAUAUAAUGUAAUGGUGGAUAUAUGAUGUCUAUUGAUCAUAGAUUUAUAUAUAUAUAUAUAUAUAUAUAUAUAUAUAUAUAUAUAUAUCCAAGAAUGGUGUGUGUGUGUGUGUGUGUGUGUGUGUUUUUAAUGCUUUAAGUCACAUUGACACUACCACCCAAACACUCCCUGUGGCCCCAAGGCACUGCAAUCUGU